rnacentral:lncRNA from 1 species
UUUUUUUUUUUCUUUAGCUUUCUGAACUAAACACACUGUGCUUGUGCCUUCAACACUUUCCCAACAAUUUCCUGCUCCUCCAUGAGGAAAGCACAUUGCCUCCUUUCCCGGACACAUUCAGUACGUGCGGGACCACCUUGGGCCUUGCUGAUGUGUGUUUUCAUUUUAGAUAACCUCAUAAGAACUGUGGGUUCUGCCUGGGCACAUGCCACAUGCAGAUUUCGGUGCCUUUCGGACCGUCUUGGCAUAAAAGUAAACAAUUCUAUUGCCAGGGACUCAGGACGCCGAGUUUUGUUGGAGGCUGUAUCAUAGGAAAGCCUACAAUGGUGUGUCACACUCUGGGCCAUGCUGAGUGCCUAAACUCUAGACAUCUUUAAAAAACCUGACAGCUUUUCUAAGCCUGAACCUCUGCUAAAUCACUUAGUCCUGGCAACAACCCUAUGUGGUUGGGACCAUUAUUAUGCUCAUUUCCCAGAGGAGGGUCUAAAAGAGAGGGCAGAGUCUGGAUUUGAACCUAAGGGCCAGGCAUUUGCACAGGGGAGGCCCUCCCCAUAGAAAGGGUGGUGGAAGGGCAAGGCCACCUCUGUCACUGGGGCCGUGCUCUGGGGAGUUCCCUGAAGGCGGAUCUGAGGGAGGAGCAGGAGUUAGGUGGAAGAAAUAAGGGAGAUUGUUCCAGGAACCAAAGGAGCACAGCUCACUGAUGAUGGAGAUAUGGCAGAGGAGUUUAGGGCACUAGGAGACCCUGGCGGCCAGCAACUUCAUCCAGGGCAUCAAGCAAGCCAGUGUGGAGCAUGACCUGACCUGCAGCUGGUGAAUUGGGCAGGGUGUCUAUACAUUUGCAAGUACGACCCACCCUGAGAAGGGAGGCUGGUGGCCAGGAGGCUGAACCCCUGGGCUGGGAGUCAGGGUGACUGAGUCCAAACCUUUUGUGGCCACUCACUCACCCAGACCCUGGGCAAGUUACUUAACCUCACUAAGAAUUGAGGUCUUAGGAUUGUUGUGGGAAUAGCUAAGAUCAUGAGUGCAAAGUGCUGAACACUUAAUUCAUAUUGCUGUCUGUGUGGUUAUGUGGCUCUGAGAAUAUUUCUGUUCAGUUUCAAGAUGAGGAGACGGAGGUCCAGAGAGGCAGGGUGAUUGGUCUAAGGUUUCUCAGCCAGUCAAGGCCUCCAGGGCAGAGAUAUUUCCAGCACCCAAAUUGCCCUAGGGGAAGGCAACCAUGUGUGGUUGUGGGACAGUGGGUUGCCUCAUUGCCUAGAAGACCCCCAGGCCUCUCAGCCUCUCACCUCUGUGUCCUCCUGUUCCCACACACAGGUGAAGGCUCCGUGCAGUUAGACUCUGGUCAGGACAUCUGGGUGGGAGCCUGCUUCCAGUCUGAAGGAGGAACCCUGGGUCGGGGGUGGGCUCUGGGACCCUUGAGAGACCUGUGGCUAAGCCCCACCUCCAGGGAAGUGAUGGCCCCGGGAGGAGAAGACAGCCUGGGCGGACUCUCCCUGAAUUUCCCAUUUGUAAACAGUGCGGCUGGGGAGGGGUAGGGCCCAGUGCCCAGUUUCUGGUGGUGGAAGAUGGCAGCGGUCCAGCAGCUAAGCAGAGGGGCGGGUGGGGAUGAGCGAUGGCUGUGGCUGUCAGCUGCAGACACAAGGGAAGCAGGCUGGAGCCUGUGGCUAUUUCUCCUCCCUCCAGGACAUGUGACCUCCUGCUGUCCUCCUUGGCCAGCUCACAGCAUUACCCAGAGCUUGAGCUUGAGCACCAUGCCCAGCCCAGGAGCCAGCCACCUCUGAGAGUCAGCGGACAUUUUCCAACAGCCCCACUAGCCUUUCUCCUCUCCACCUUCCAGCCCCUUACCUGCCAUACACAGAACCCAGGGGAAGUUUCAAACUCCCUUUUUUAAAAAAGCCACAGCUGUGGUGAUAAAGUAAUAAGAGACCCUGCCUGAAUUCAGCCAAACCUGGAGUUGAAUCUUGUUUUGGUCACUUACUAGUUAAGGGACCUCAAGGUGGCCACUUCGCCUCUCUGGAACCUCAGAGUUUUCUCAGCUGUAAAGUGGGGCUAAUCCCAACGACCCUCAAGUUGCCAUAAAGGCUACAUGGGUGGAGUAAGAGCAUGCCAUAGGGAGCCAGAAAAUGUGUCAUGAAAGAAAGAACACUCUGAAAUAAGCACAUAACAGGCCCUCUGUAAAUAUUUACUGAUUAAAUAGCAGGUGGAAUCAAAGAGAAAUAAAUUAUCCCGUCAUCUGUGUCUUUUGUCUUUCUCUCCAGAAGCCUAAGGGAAUUAGAGGCAUUGACUAGGGGUGAGAGAAGAACAGGGUGAGACAGGGCAUAAUUCUUGGGGACGGAAGGCUGAGAACAUUCUUAAUGAUGUCAGCUCCCGUGUGCAGAAUACAUUACACUCUCUCAAGUGAUGCUGAUUCUCUCUGACAUUAAGGCUCUUCUGGAAGGGAGAUUCAGACACCACACCCAUGAAGACAGAUUUUAGGUUCUCAUCUGAUCUCUGUCUCUUACUAUUCAGCAGGCUUAGACCAGACUUAUGUCUCCUCUGAGCCUCUGUUUUCUUAUCUAUAAAGUGUGCAUCCUAAUACCAACUCUCAGGGCUAUUGUGAGGAUUAAAUGAGUCAGGGGACUCAUGCAAUGUAUGUCAAGUGCUUAGUGCUGGGCCUGGUGUAAAACAGGCCUUCAGCAAAUGGUAGCUGUCAUUAUGAUUACCUAUCCUAUCAGUUAGCUAUUGCUGUAUAAUAAACUACCCCCAAAUUUAGGGCCCGAAACAACCACCAUUUGUUUAGCUCAUGAUUCUGUGUGUCAGCCAUUUAGGUUGGGCUCAGCUAGGUGGUUCAUCUGGUCUUCUCCUGCAUCUGAAGUUGGCUGCAGGUAGGGUGGUGGUUCUGCUUCUGGGGGUAAGUUGGCUGUUGUCUGGGAUGAUGGAGUACUGACCCGGUUGCCUCUCAUGCUCCAGCAGGCUAACUUGGGCUUCUUCAUGAGGCAGUGGCAGGGUUUUGAGAGAGUGAGGCAAUGAGACAGAAGAAGUGGGGACAAGUAUGCAAAAUUCCUUGAGACUUAGAAUUGACACACUAUGUUUUCCCCCACAUUCCAUUAGCCAAAGGAAGUCACACAACCAGCCAUCAGAGAGGUGCUAGCUGCAUAGUCAUGUUGCAGAGAGCAUAGAUACAGGAAGGGGAAUAAGUGUGACUAUUUUUGCAAACAAUGACCACAUACAACUAAUUAGGGAACAUCUGAGACAGAACCACGUCCCCUCAACUCCCAGUGCCAUGACUUCCACCCUAGCUGCUCACUCUGCCCUGUGACACUGGCAGGAAAGCCGGUUG